CGUGUAGGCGGCUUUUUAAGUCAGACGUGAAAUCUCUGGACUUAACCCAGAAAUUGCGUUUGAAACUGGAAGGCUUGAGGAUCGGAGAGGGUAGUGGAAUUCCCAGUGUAGCGGUGAAAUGCGUAGAUAUUGGGAGGAACACCAGUGGCGAAGGCGACUGCCUGGACGACACCUGACGCUGAGGCGCGAAAGCCAGGGGAGCAAACGGGAUUAGAUACCCCGGUAGUCCUGGCCGUAAACGAUGGGUACUAGGUGUGGGAGGUAUCGACCCCUUCCGUGCCGCAGUUAACACAAUAAGUACCCCGCCUGGGGAGUACGGCCGCAAGGUUAAA
rnacentral:rRNA from 1 species